ACUCCUACGGGAGGCAGCAGUGGGGAAUAUUGCACAAUGGGCGCAAGCCUGAUGCAGCCAUGCCGCGUGUAUGAAGAAGGCCUUCGGGUUGUAAAGUACUUUCAGCAGUGAGGAAGGUGGGUAUGUUAAUAGCAUACACAUUUGACGUUAGCUGCAGAAGAAGCACCGGCUAACUCCGUGCCAGCAGCCGCGGUAAUACGGAGGGUGCGAGCGUUAUCCGGAAUCAUUGGGUUUAAAGGGUCCGUAGGUGGAUGAUUAAGUCAGAGGUGAAAUCCUGCAGCUCAACUGUAGAAUUGCCUUUGAUACUGGUUGUCUUGAAUUAUUGUGAAGUAGUUAGAAUAUGUGGUGUAGCGGUGAAAUGCAUAGAUAUCACAUAGAAUACCGAUUGCGAAGGCAGAUUACUAACAAUACAUUGACACUGAUGGACGAAAGCGUGGGGAGCGAACAGGAUUAGAUACCCUGGUAGCCCGAUGU
rnacentral:rRNA from 1 species